rnacentral:rRNA from 1 species
ACAACUUUCAACAACGGAUCUCUUGGCUCUCGCAUCGAUGAAGAACGCAGCGAAAUGCGAUAAGUAAUGUGAAUUGCAGAAUUCAGUGAAUCAUCGAAUCUUUGAACGCACCUUGCGCCCCUUGGUAUUCCGGGGGGCAUGCCUGUUUGAGUGUC